GGGAAUUUAGCUCAGUGGUAGAGCGCUUGCCUAGCAAGCACAAGGCCCUGGGUUCGGUCCUCAGCCCU
rnacentral:tRNA from 1 species